UACGUAGGGUGCAAGCGUUGUCCGGAAUUAUUUGGGCGUAAAGAGCUCGUAGGCGGUUUGUCGCGUCUGCUGUGAAAACCCGAGGCUCAACCUCGGGCCUGCAGCUGAUACGGGCAGGCUUGAGUUCGGUAGGGGAGACUGGAAUUCCUGGUGUAGCGGUGGAAUGCGCAGAUAUCAGGAGGAACACCGAUGGCGAAGGCAGGUCUCUGGGCAUUAACUGACGCUGAGGAGCGAAAGCAUGGGGGAGCGAACAGG
rnacentral:rRNA from 1 species